rnacentral:rRNA from 2 species
GGCUAAUACCGCAUAACGUCGCAAGACCAAAGAGGGGGACCUUCGGGCCUCUUGCCAUCAGAUGUGCCCAGAUGGGAUUAGCUUGUUGGUGAGGUAACGGCUCACCAAGGCGACGAUCCCUAGCUGGUCUGAGAGGAUGACCAGCCACACUGGAACUGAGACACGGUCCAGACUCCUACGGGAGGCAGCAGUGGGGAAUAUUGCACAAUGGGCGCAAGCCUGAUGCAGCCAUGCCGCGUGUAUGAAGAAGGCCUUCGGGUUGUAAAGUACUU